AUACGGAGGAUGCGAGCGUUAUCCGGAUUUAUUGGGUUUAAAGGGUGCGUAGGCGGGAUGUUAAGUCAGCGGUGAAAGUUUGAGGCUCAACCUUAAAAUUGCCGUUGAAACUGGUAUUCUUGAGUAUAAAUGAAGUGGGCGGAAUUUGUGGUGUAGCGGUGAAAUGCAUAGAUAUCACAAGGAACUCCGAUUGCGAAGGCAGCUCACUAAGCUAUAACUGACGCUGAUGCACGAAAGCGUGGGUAUC
rnacentral:rRNA from 1 species